UGCCUGUAAUUGGGGAUGGCUCCCUAGAGAGAAACUGUUCCACUCACAGCAUCCAGAAGGAAAAGAUUCAGAAACCAAGUGGCCAUCCCUGAUGUACAGCUGAUUGGACAUGAGUGGGGACUGGGAAGAAAUCGAAAUAAUUUGCUUCUCUCUUCUAAUCAUUCAGGAUGCGACACUGAGAGGCAAUUCCGAAGUCCUAUGUGAAAAUCAUAGAGGAAACUUUUGCAAGAUUUAUCAUGGACACUGAAGAAGAUGAAGAAAAUAUUUUUUGGAAUAGUAGCAUAUUGAUUAAAUAUCAUGUAACUCUCUAAACAUGUGGAUAAUGGCAGAAAAUCAGCUUGACACAGAUAUCUGUGCUUUUGCAGUGCAGCGUACUCAUCAAGCUGACUGCUGAAUUAUUUCAUGAUAAGAUAAUUUUCCUUCAAGUCUAAUACCACAGAGGUCACGUGGUCUGGAGAUAUUCAUGAAGAAACUGUCACUUUCAGGCUCCUAAUAUCAGUCACUCUUCUAUCUAUAUUUGGUUUAUGGAAUCAGGAAAGUGUGAUAGUAGUUAUUAGCUGCUCUCAGAAAAUCCUCUUGCAAGAUAGAUUUAUUUCCUGAUUAAUGAUGGAAAUGAUCCAGUAUUAAUUUCAGUUUUUGAUAUCAACAAUUUUAUGUUAACAUCAUUCUUGCUAUGUUCACCUUUCAAAUUACUAUGAUCAUUCUAAUGAUUAAAAAGCUAUUAUUUGAUUUAGAUUCACUCUGUAAUUAUCAGCUGUAACAUUUUCUGACAUUUCUUACUAAAUUUGAGUACAUGAGGUUGUACUUCAACUAACAAAAGAUUUUCCUAUAGAAGCUUUUUAACAUGCACUCAGGUAAAUUUAAAGCAUAGAAGACCAGGGAAGUAGUAUUAGUCAUAAAUUCUAUCCCAUCUGAAUCUAAUUUUUGGUAGGUGCAGUGGAAUUUGUUUUAUUGCUUUUUUACACUUGAAAUUAGGAUAUCUUAUACAAUCAUUUGUUUGUAUUCAUAGUUUUCUCAAUAUUUAUUUUAUAACAACAAAUUGCAUUUUCCAUUGCUCUAUUUUUUAAGUUGCCUUCUUAGAAAAUAUCUGACCUUUAUAUUCCUUCUUAGUCAUUAUGAUUAAUGAGAGUUACAGCUUUUAAUUGCAGCAUAAGAAAAAUACUAUCAGUGCCCGAAGAAUGUAACAAUUACCUUAAUACUUCUCUUUUUUGGACGUGUUCUUAUGAAGCAAAUCAGUGAAAGCAGCCAACAAUUUAAAAACUAGAAAGUACUAUACAAGAUUUCAUAUUCCCUUUUGCUUAGUGAAUUCUGUAAGUGUGAAAGGCAAAUGUUUGUGAAAAAUCUUCAAGUAUAUACAAAUCUUUACUUACUGGGUUUUAUAUGUUUUAUAUUAUAUUGCCGGUCUUUUUUGGUAAUGCCAUAAAAUUUGUCUCCAAUAAAGUAUCUCUUCUCUUUUGGUCA
rnacentral:lncRNA from 1 species